rnacentral:rRNA from 1 species
CCUACGGGUGGCAGCAGUGAGGAAUAUUGGUCAAUGGGCGCGAGCCUGAACCAGCCAAGUAGCGUGAAGGAUGACUGCCCUACGGGUUGUAAACCUCUUUUAUAAAGGAAUAAAGUGAGUCACGUGUGCCUUUUUGUAUGUACUUUACGAAUAAGGAACGGCUAACUUCGUGCCAGCAGCCGCGGUAAUACGGAGGAUACGAGCGUUGUUCGGAUUUAGUGGGUUUAAAGGGAGCGUAGAUGGCUUGUUAAGUCAGUUGUGAAAGUUUACGGCUCAACCGUAAAAUUGCAAUUGAUACUGGCAGCCUUGAGUGCAGUUGAGGUAGGCGGAAUUCGUGGUGUAGCGGUGAAAUGCUUAGAUAUCACGAAGAACACCGAUUGCGAAGGCAGCUUACUAAGCUGCCACUGACGUUGAUGCUCGAAAGUGUGGGUAUCAAACAGGAUUAGAUACCCUUGUAGUC